UUUAUGUAGACAGGGUGAUGAGGUAGAUCGAUUUAUGUAGACAGUGUGAUGAGGUAGAUAGUAGAUUUAUGUAGACAGGGUGAUGAGGUAGAUAGUAGAUUUAUGUAGACAGGGUGAUGAGGUAGAUAGAUUUAUGUAGAUAGGGUGAUGAGGUAGAUAGUAGAUUUAUGUAGAGAGGGUGAUGAGGUAGAUAGUAGAUUUAUGUAGAGAGGGUGAUGAGGUAGAUAGUAGAUUUAUGUAGAGAGGGUGAUGAGGUAGGUAGAGUUAUGUAGAGAGGGUGAUGAGGUAGGUAGAGUUAUGUAGACAGGGUGAUGAGGUAGAUAGUAGAUUUAUGUAGACAGGGUGAUGAGGUAGAUCGAUUUAUGUAGACAGGGUGAUGAGGUAGAUCGAUUUAUGUAGACAGGGUGAUGAGGUAGGUAGAGUUAUGUAGAGAGGGUGAUGAGGUAGGUAGAGUUAUGUAGAGAGGGUGAUGAGGUAGAGUUAUGUAGAGAGGGUGAUGAGGUAGAUAGAGUUAUGUAGACAGGGUGAUGAGGUAGAUAGAGUUAUGUAGACAGGGUGAUGAGGUAGGUAGAGUUAUGUAGACAGGGUGAUGAGGUAGGUAGAGUUAUGUAGAGAGGGUGAUGAGGUAGAUAGAGUUAUGUAGACAGGGUGAUGAGGUAGAUAGAGUUAUGUAGACAGGGUGAUGAGGUAGAUAGAGUUAUGUAGAGAGGGUGAUGAGGUAGGUAGAGUUAUGUAGACAGGGUGAUGAGGUAGGUAGAGUUAUGUAGACAGGGUGAUGAGGUAGAUAGAGUUAUGUAGACAGGGUGAUGAGGUAGGUAGAGUUAUGUAGACAGGGUGAUGAGGUAGGUAGAGUUAUGUAGACAGGGUGAUGAGGUAGAUAGAGUUAUGUAGACAGGGUGAUGAGGUAGGUAGAGUUAUGUAGAGAGGGUGGCAGGGGAACAGUGGUUUAAGUCUCAAAUGACAGCCUAUUCCUAAUGUAGUUCAGGCUCUGGUCAAAAGUAGUGCCCUACAUUAGAGAUUCAAUCCAAUGUUGAUGUGGAAGGAAGGAGCAAUGUGGCGAUGGAGAGGGUGCUAAAAGAGGAAACCAGACAGCUCCUCCUCUUCCUGUUCAUCACAGAGGAUGCGUUCCACAUGGCAAUACAU